CAGAUCUGGAUGACAGCCACUCCCAAUUGCCUUCUGAAACAAUCACAGAGGAGGUUGGGGGGAGGUGCUGCUGCCCAAAGAAAACACAAAGACUCCUCCUUUGUAGAAGUAAGAUGCUGUCUUGGCCAGCUACUUGGAGAAAGCAGCUGAUUCAGUAUGAAGAGCAAGUCUUUUUUCUGGCAGGACCAGUUUACAAGUGAUGAAGGCAUCCUGUCUGGAGUCUCUAUCUUGGGGCUGGGGAAGAUGAUGGAGGACACACCCACUGUUCCAACCAAGGAAUGCUGCUUGUUUUCAUGCUGCUGUCUGGAGGGAGAGCCAAGAGUCCUCCUGGGGAGGAAAGUGUGAAGAACUGAAUGUCUAAAUAAAGGCUGUUCUCUGCGCACCUUGCAUCACACAAGUACCCUCCUGCUGUAUGGAACCUUCCUGCUUGCUCAGAAAAAAUAGACCCAGCCAGUCUGCCAUCAUCCGAAGGGGUGAACAAUGUGAGACAGACUCUCUAUGCAGCCCUGGCUAUCCUGGAACUCACCGUGUAAACCAAGCUAACCUCGAACACACAAAGAUUCAUCUGGCUCUGCAUGCAGAAUGCUGAGACUAAAAGUGUAUAUGACUAUGCCUGGAUAGAGGUAGUAUUUUUCUGUAGCCCAGGAUGGCCUCAAACUUGUGACCAAGGAUGAUCUUGAAUUUCUCCUACUUUCUCCUCCUCCUGAAUGCUGUAAUUAUAGGCACAUACCACCACACUCAAGUUCAUGCUGGGGUUGGAACCCAGAACUCUAUGCAUGCUAGGCAAGCACUCUACCAACUAAGCUACAGCCCAAGCCCCUUAGUAAUUCACUGUGCUUACACUAUCUUCCUUCAAAAGUAAAAAAUCG